GCGCGUAUAGCUCAGUGGUAGAGCGCAUCGUUGACAUCGAUGAGGCCCCAAGUUCAAUCCUUGGUACGCGCA
rnacentral:tRNA from 1 species